AAAACGAACAUUUGCUAUUUGUCCUUUCCAGACUCAAAUUCAGGUUGUCUAGGAGACACCCAGUUUUGUUUUAGAUUCCGCCAAUCUUCUGGGAGGAGGGUCUCACUGCACUGUCUUCUUGAUGAAUUUGACAAAGAUUUACCAGUUUACUUAAAGGUGGGAAAGCCCUGUCUGAGGGAAGCCCUGGCACUUGUUUCUUUAGAGCUGGUGUACUCAGUCACCUUUGGUAACAUUCCAGCGUUGUGUGCCCUUUGAGGGUUAUUUUAUUAUGUAGCUGGGUUUCUUAAAUAAGGGAUAAGGAUCCCAUAUAUGAGAUGUGAGUGGAAUUGACUCUAAAGUUACUCUUCUGGAAAUGAUGCUAUAAUAAAUUAUAAAAACUG
rnacentral:lncRNA from 1 species